UUUAAAAUGCAAAACUAAAGGGUGCAUGUAUGUCCUCUGUCCAUCACCGUCACCCACAGGCCACAGCUCAACCAAAACCUUCUCUCUCCGCCUCCCUUCUCCCUCCUCUCUGUCUUUCCCAUCUCACCUCAUCACACCCUACCACUGGAGCAAUUUCGGGUUUCGAGAACCCUAACCCUUUUUAUCAGCCUAAAUCAGAUCCUACCUUUUUAUCUCCAUGUUCUGACUCCAAAGUGGUCUUCAUUUCUUGUGCCUGCAAAACAGAACACAAUUUAGUACGGGGGAAAAAGGGAAGAGUUUUUGAAUGCGAAUUGAGUUCAGGUUGUGAGAGUGGGGAAAUGCCAAGUGUAGCUGUGAAGCUCUACAGCGUGUUCUUCAAGUUCCUCUUGAAGCAGCGGUUGCAGAACCGGAUUCAAGCUUCGCCCGAUGAAGCGGACCCGUUCGGGGUCACCUCACGACCCGAUGAAUCCGUUGCCCCCUCCAAUCCUUCCUUCACCGACGGUGUUGCCACCAAGGACAUCCAUAUCGACCCCUUCACAUCUCUUACUAUAAGAAUCUUCCUUCCCGAAACUGCACUAAGGUCCCCAGAAUCAGAUGCUGCAGUCCUACCCAGACAGCCUAGACAUAGCUAUGGGAAAUCCGAUCUUGAAUCUCGAUCUUUCCAAGUUGAUACGACGAAUCGCAGUUCAGAUUCCCAUCCCUUGCGGCCUAAUAAUCAUGGUAAAAGCAAUGGUGUGGAAGGUUCAAAUUUGGCCGGCGGGGGGGUGUACAGAGGUUACUCGCCGGUACUAAAUAAUCGUCGGAAAUUGCCGGUAAUGUUGCAGUUUCAUGGUGGUGGUUGGGUUAGUGGAAGCAACGAUUCUGUCACAAACGAUUAUUUCUGUCGUCGAAUUGCAAAACUCUGCGAUGUGAUCCUUAUUUCUGUUGGGUACAGACUCGCUCCUGAAAAUCGUUAUCCGGCAGCUUUUGAGGACGGAAUGAAGGCAUUGAAUUGGUUGGCAAAGCAGGCGAACUUAGCUGAAUAUAACAAGUCGAUGGGGAUUGGACGGGGUGAUGGGACUGAGCUCAGAAAAUCAGAUACCCAUAGUCAUAUUGUGGACACGUUUGGAGCUUCAGCGGUUGAACCAUGGUUGGCCGCUCAUGGUGAUCCAUCAAGGUGCGUUCUUCUCGGGGUCAGUUGUGGUUCAAAUAUUGCAGACUAUGUAGCUCGAAAAGCUGUGGAAGCAGGCAAGUUUCUGGACCCUGUCAAGGUGGUGGCACAAGUCCUAAUGUAUCCCUUCUUUAUAGGAAGUGUACCUACUCAUUCGGAAAUAAAGUUGGCCAACUCCUACUUUUAUGACAAGUCUAUGUGUAUGCUUGCAUGGAAACUAUUCCUGCCCGAGGAAGAAUUUAGCCUGGAUCACCCGGCUGCUAAUCCCCUGGUUCCAAACCGGGGGCCUCCUCUUAAACUUAUGCCUCCGACAUUGACAGUGGUUGCAGAACAUGACUGGAUGAGGGAUCGUGCCAUUGCUUACUCAGAGGAGCUCCGGAAGGUAAAUGUCGAUGCACCUGUUCUUGAAUACAAGGAUGCAGUGCAUGAAUUUGCAACGCUCGACAUACUUCUAAAAAGCACUCAGGCUCAGGUUUGUGCAGAGGACAUUGCCAUCUGGGUUAAGAAAUAUAUUUCACUUAGGGGACAUGAAUUCUCAUAUUAGCCUUUAGGUACCUGUCUUCUAUGUCAGCUUCGGAUCACUCUCUUGCUGCUACUACCUGGCGUUUUGUGAUAUACUUGAGUUUUGCUGUCCUGAUGAGGUUUUUCUCUUGCAAGUGGCGAUGAACCUUGCGGGGACUUGAAAAUAUAAAUGGAUUGAGGUCAGAGAGUAAUGAAACCCUGCAAGAAACAAGAUUUUCAAUGGGGUGUUGAUUCUUGGACAGCUCGAAGUGAAAGAGACUACUUGCAUAGAAGUUAACAUGUUGAGAAGACCAAGGAGGAUAUAACAAAUUUGGUGAAUAAAUCAGCCAAAAUCAAAGCCUAGGGUUCCUGACAUCGUAUGCUUUGUUUUUGGUCGGCCCGAUGUGGCUGUCGUACCGAAGACCAAGGGGCCCCCCAUUUUCUUUCCGAGGAUCUAUUAUAAAUAGGCGAGGGCAUGAACAUGAUAGCCUCGGGGCUAUUAUCACAAAUCUUGAGGUAAUAACCCGCAGCAAUUUCUUUCCCAGUAGGGGAAUCAUUUGGCGGCUUGAUGCUGAUAGUCAUAGAUAGAGGAUCCUCCUCUCUCACACAGCGAUGAGAUGGAGGAAGAAGGCCCUUUAUCUAUGGUGAUCAGGCAUGGCCGUGCACCAAGCCAGUUCAGGCUUGCAGGUCUCAAUAUUGGAAGAACUUUGAGGGUCUGGGUGGCCACCUUUGUAACUCAAUACAGUUCUCAAGUCUCAGGUUUUGAUCAGCUCAUUGAUUGUCGUCCUCCUCCUCAUCUGGAUCAUAUUACUUAAGUGACGUCUCUGCCGACUCUGAUACAACAUGUGUUGAGAUGCCAAAAAUCGCUUUGUUUCGUUCAACUUUGUGGAAGAAAUUUCCAUAGAAAGAGAUCAUGGUAUUGA